rnacentral:rRNA from 1 species
GUGGGGAAUCUUGCGCAAUGGGCGAAAGCCUGACGCAGCCAUGUCGCGUGAAUGAUGAAGGUCUUAGGAUUGUAAAAUUCUUUCACCGGGGACGAUAAUGACGGUACCCGGAGAAGAAGCCCCGGCUAACUUCGUGCCAGCAGCCGCGGUAAUACGAAGGGGGCUAGCGUUGCUCGGAAUUACUGGGCGUAAAGGGCGCGUAGGCGGACAGUUUAGUCAGAGGUGAAAGCCCAGGGCUCAACCUUGGAAUUGCCUUUGAUACUGGCUGUCUUGAGUACGGGAGAGGUGAGUGGAACUCCGAGUGUAGAGGUGAAAUUCGUAGAUAUUCGGAAGAACACCAGUGGCGAAGGCGACUCACUGGCCCGUUACUGACGCUGAGGCGCGAAAGCGUGGGGAGCAAACAGGAUUAGAUACCCUGGUAGUCC